rnacentral:rRNA from 1 species
GAUGAACGCUAGCGGGAGGCUUAACACAUAGCAAGUCGAGGGGCAGCAUAGGGUAGCAAUACUCUGAUGGCGACCGGCAAACGGGUGAGUAACGCGUAUGCAACCUACCCUGUACAGGGGGAUAACCCGGAGAAAUUCGGACUAAUAUCCCGUAAUAAUAUCCGGAGGCAUCUUUGGAUAUUUAAAGUUCCGACGGUACGGGAUGGGCAUGCGUAACAUUAACUGGUUGGUAAGGUAACGGCUUACCAAGGCUAUGAUGUUUAGGGGUCCUGAGAGGGUGGUCCCCCACACUGGUACUGAGACACGGACCAGACUCCUACGGGAGGCAGCAGUGAGGAAUAUUGGUCAAUGGGCGCAAGCCUGAACCAGCCAUCCCGCGUGCAGGAAGACGGCCCUAUGGGUUGUAAACUGCUUUUCCAGGGAGAGAAACUUACGCACGUGUUGCGUGACUGACGGUACCCUGGGAAUAAGCAUCGGCUAACUCCGUG